UACGUAUGGUGCAAGCGUUAUCCGGAUUUACUGGGUGUAAAGGGAGCGUAGGCGGCGCGUUAAGUCUGAUGUGAAAACCCGAGGCUCAACCACGGGAGUGCAUUGGAAACUGGCGGGCUGGAGUGCCGGAGAGGUAAGCGGAAUUCCUAGUGUAGCGGUGAAAUGCGUAGAUAUUAGGAGGAACACCAGUGGCGAAGGCGGCUUGCUGGGCUCUAACUGACGCUGAGGCUCGAAAGUGUGGGGAGCAAACAGG
rnacentral:rRNA from 1 species